UACGUAGGGGGCUAGCGUUGUCCGGAAUCAUUGGGCGUAAAGAGCGUGUAGGCGGUCCGGUAAGUCCGCUGUGAAAGUCGGAGGCUCAACCCUCGAAUGCCGGUGGAUACUGUCGGGCUAGAGUGCGGAAGAGGCGAGUGGAAUUCCUGGUGUAGCGGUGAAAUGCGCAGAUAUCAGGAGGAACACCUAUUGCGAAGGCAGCUCGCUGGGACGUAACUGACGCUGAGACGCGAAAGCGUGGGGAGCAAACAGG
rnacentral:rRNA from 1 species